ensembl:lncRNA
GUUCUGGUGACAUUUUGGUGGCCACCAGGGUUUGUGUUUAGAGUCUUGAUCCAGCUACCGUUAUCCUGGCUAUUGUGGAUGUAGUGAAGGGAUUGGCCUGCAGCCGUGACAAGGCACUUCCCUAAGGAGCGGGUCUGGGUGGAGGAAUCACGGGAGUCUGGAAAGACUGGGUGCCCUCGUUCCAUAGAGAAGGGAGCACUCUGGUGUUGAGCUCAGCAGCCAUCCCUCCCUCGUGCCUUUUGUUCCUGGGCAUCUGAAAUUCCCGGGCGGGAGAGAGCAGAGGGCGCGAAGGAGCCUACCCUGGUCCACGGUUACUUCAUUCCUCUAGAUUCAAAUCUAGAGUGUGACGUCAUUGGAGAGGAUGCCAGAGUUUCCUUCAGAAAUGUGGGACAGUUUAGCAAAUCUGAAAAUUGUGUGGACACACACACAAGCUCCUGCUGCUGGAGAAGAGAGGGGAUGCAUGCGUCCGCCUGGCCUGGCCCUCUGGGCCCACGGCCAGAACCCGGAGCUCUAAGCAGACCGCACGGUGCACACUGGGCCGCUGGCUUUCACAAGCUGGCUCUGCACGGGCCACCAGGUGGAAGAACUCUCUGAUCCUCAGGGAAGCCAAAGUCCAGUGGACUCUGCAGGGAACAGCCAAGACAGGCAGCAGGUGCCGGUGUCCCCCAUCUCCUGGAAUAGGGAUUUUAAGGGGCCUGGAAGCUGGUCAGAACAAGAUGCAAGGAAGCGCUGGUUCUUUUACCAGUUCUCGAAGGCGUCUGGGACUCAUGAAAGGGCAAGGGCCACUGUCAGAGCGGAAGACAGGACAGCCAGAGCGAGCACCCGGGUGAAUGUCCCAACACAGGAUGGUCAGCAGGGAACGAAUCCGGGUCCUGCCCAGGGCUCAGGUGUCGGGGGCUGGUGACAGGUGAGAACACGCCUUGGGCUGGUGCUCUCUCUGUGAAACACAACCACACUGUCUCCUGCUGACAGGCAGUUGGGACAAUAAACCAAGGAUUCUUCUGGUCAGAUAAGUGGUUUAGACUGAUAAGAUGAUGCUAUACAUUUGCCAAUGGCUGUCCCCUUUAAGGACUCAAGGUGGAGAUCAUGACAGAUGUGAGUGUCCGGGGAUGCUGUGGAACCUCACUGAGAGCACAAAGGGUGCUGACUUCUUUCCAUGGGGAGAGGUCUCCUUCCUCCGAUGCUUCACCUCGAGCCUCUUCAGCAUCCCCUUCCUUCCCUUUGCCUGCUGUGUUCUCAGCGAUGGUGACAGGCUUGAACCAUGACAACCACGGCCUUUUCCAUGCACAAGGCAAGGCCGCACACCAGGCCCCUGUGCUGAAUGUGUUCUUGUCGUUGUCGCUGAGUCCCAGCAGUACUCUUCUAAUUGGGCGUCAUUCUCGUUUUGCGGAGGAGGAGACUGAAGCUCAGAGAGAUGAGCCCCCUUGCCAAGUCCCACAGCUAGGACACAGAGGAACCCAGAUACACACGGUCGCCCUAACGCCAAUGUCUGUUAGCGUCCUGCCACCUUCCUUCACCUGCCACCCCAGUGCUCCAUCACAGGCUGGAGCUAAGAGUCCUCCCUGUCAGGGUCUAUCCCAGAGAAAAAGGCAAGAGGGAGAGCAGAGAGAACAGGACAGCUCUGUCAGUGUCUGUGUGUGUUGAACGUGUGUUGGCGUAUUAUGUAGUGUUGGGG